AGCUCCAAUAGCGUAUGCUAAAGUUGUUGCAGUUAAAAGGCUCGUAGUCGAAUUUAUGGCUGAGUGAACCUGAUCCAAUGCCUAGUGCAUUGCGAAUCGGUGUGCACCGGUCAUUCUUCUGAAGAGGCUGACUACCCUUGAUUGGGUCGGUCCAGAUUACCGAUUCAGAUCAUUUACUGUGAGAAAAUCAAAGUGUUCAAAGCAGGCUUUAAUGCCCGUAUGGUUCAGCAUGGAAUAAUAAGAUAAGACUUUGGUCCUGUCUUGUUGGCUAGAGACGAACCAAAGUAAUGAUUGAAAGGGAUAGUUGGGGGUGCUAGUAUUGAAUGGUCAGCGGUGAAAUGCGAGGACCCAUUUAAGACUAACUUAUGCGAAAGCAUUCACCAAGGAUAUCUUCUUUGAU
rnacentral:rRNA from 1 species